GCAGUGUUCUGGAAUUCUGUGCAUGGGAGAAUCAUUCAGUCCCUCAUAGCAGUGUUCUGGAAUUCUGUGUGAGGGA
ensembl:miRNA